UACGGGGGGGGGCAAGCGUUGUUCGGAAUUACUGGGCGUAAAGGGCUCGUAGGCGGCCAACUAAGUCGGAUGUGAAAUCCCCAGGCUUAACCUGGGAACUGCAUCUGAUACUGGAUGGCUUGAAUCCGGGAGAGGGAUGCAGAAUUCCAGGUGUAGCGGUGAAAUGCGUAGAUAUCUGGAGGAAUACCGGUGGCGAAGGCGGCAUCCUGGACCGGCAUUGACGCUGAUGAGCGAAAGCUAGGGGAGCAAACGGG
rnacentral:rRNA from 1 species